rnacentral:lncRNA from 1 species
GGGAAAUAUUUUUAGAAAAUUUUUUAGAAGCAUAAAACACCAAGAAAGUGUAAAAAAGGUAUUUAAAACGCAAUUAAAAAGCAGUUAAAAAAAAACUCAGCAGGAUUUAAUCUGGACCGUUGGAUGAAUCCAGAGGUCCAGAUCUAGCCCUCAAGAUCACAUCACAGCCACUUGAUCAAAGAUCAAAGGGUCCAGAAAAAGGCACAAAAGAUAGUGUAAAAUGCAGGAAGCACAGUGACCGUUAGAUCAAAGAUCUAACGGUUCAAACAGAAGAUAUACCAUAUUUCACACAAAAAGUCAUGCACAGGAUUCAAAAUCAAACACACAGCAGCCAUCAGAUCUUGGAACAAUCCAGAUCUGAUGGUUCACAGAGCGAGGGAACACAACAAGAGCACGCACGCGCGCGCGUGGGAUCGGAGGGAGUAUAAAAAGGAUUUCUCUCACAAAAAUCUCACAAUUUCUUUCCUCUUCUCUCUCUAAGUUAAACUUAGAGAGAGAAGCUCUCACUUCUCUCUAAAAACAGCCGGUCGGAGCUGAUGUGGAGGUGGCGGCCGGAGCUUUUCCGGCGCGGUGGCCGGCCGGUUUCCGGCGGCGGCGCCACCGCGUCGGAAUUUUUUUUUUUUUUUUUUUUUUUAAUUUUUAUACCAAAAGCUUCGUCUCCUCCUCCUCUACUCAAAUCCGGUGCUAGUUUUAAAAAGGGGUGAGAGAUUCGUCGUAGAUCUACGUUUGAACUUUCGGAAUUUUUUCACUCUUUUUGUAAAAAAAGCUUACGGAUCUAGAUAUCCUUUUCGCUCUAGAGUCCGAAUCCGGCCUCAAAAUUUCAAAAAUCCGAACGUACAAGCCUAGAUCUACAAAUCUUGAUUCGUAACAAACUUUUCACAUGUGUAUAUGCGCGAAAACGAGGGAAAAAAGUGUUACCGUCGUCGUGAAACGGAGAAAAAAAAAAUCCGAGCCUCCUCUUCUCUCCGCCGCGCGCGCGCGGAUUUGCUCCGGUGGUGCCGCUUUUGCUCGAAAAUCCGGUACGGAUUUGGUGUUGGUGUGAUGAUUCGCGGUGGUUUUGAAUGAUUCCGGUUCGGAUUUGUUGAUUUUGUGAUGAUUUGAGUUGGUUUUGAGUGAAUCCGGUUCGGAUUUGUUGAUUUUGUGAAGAUUUGUUCUUGGUGUUCUUGGAGAAUUUUUUGGUGAUUUUCUGUUUUGGAUCUAACUGAUUUUGGAGAGAGAAAGAAAUUUCUGUUUUUGUGAUGUGACUGAUUCUGAUUUUUUUAUUUGGAUCUGACACAUCUAUUUAUAGCCUGCCAUGUGUAUUUGUGGGCCAAUGAGAAAAUGCCAUCUGGACUGAGACUGAAGUGUGCGAAAAUUCUGGACAAAAAUGCCCCUGGGACCUUUUCUGCAAAAAAAAUAAUAAAAAAGGACUGGAAAAUGAAAGUAAGGACUGAAAUGAAAUUAAAAACUGUUUGGACAAAAAAUGCAAUUUUGGGACCUCAAUUGAGGGACCAAAAUGCAAUUAAAAAUAAAAUUGAAUAAAAAACGUAAUUUGACCAAACGUAAAGCGAAACAAAAAAUAAAAUUGACAAAACGGACUAAAACGAAUCAAUGGCUUAAAUGAGGUACUUCAAAGUAACCUCUCUAUGCCGAAAUUUUGUGUGAAAUGACCAAAAUGCCCCUAGGGCUAAAAAUGACCUAAACAGAUUCAAAUUGACUUGACACUGACUCAGAUGCAAGUUUGAAAUGAAUUUAACAAGGUUUACUGAUGAAAUGUUAAAAAUCAAUCUGAAAAGACUCAGAGACAGUCACAAGGAUGAAAAUGGGUCCCACUGCAGGAAAUGACCAAAAUACCCUUCUAUACGACUUUUUGCAAAUUUUGAAAUAAACUGUAGAAAAAGCAAUGUAAUGAUUCAGAGACACUUUUGAAUGACUUACAAGACAAGUAAAGACAUUUCGAAAGGUUUUAUGCAAGAAAAACAUAGGUAAAAUUGUGAUUGAAAAUACUGCGAGGCAGAGACAAUUUGAACUGUGCAGUUGAAAUUUGAUAAUUGACAAAGUUUGAAAUGAAAUUGGGCCCAGUAUUUUUAGGUCCAAAAACAGGGUAUAACAGCUGCCCCUAUUUAAGUUUCUUUGUCUGGAGAGUCAAGAGACGGAGUCUUUGGCUUGACAGGACGAAGACACUUAAAUAUUAGCAUUUGCACUGUGUUUGGACGUAAAAAUACGCCUACCCAUUUUCAAAUAAUAUGCAUGCCAUGCAUCAUUUGGAUUAUGAAUGCAAGACCUCAUGGGGAUUGGAAUUAACAAAAUAUGUCGUAUCCAUUGCGGGAUUGGUAGACAUUGACAAAGAUAGUGAAUAGCAGAGUAACGGGAAACUAGAAACAAGUUGGACAGGUACAAGCUGUUCUUGGAUUCAAACUAGCCACUUGACCGGGGAUGAAACAAACAGACAACUGCGAGUUGUUCUUAUGGAUUCGAACUGGUCACUUCACAGGGGAUAGAGGUUACUGGACAAACAUGAGUUGUUCUUAUGGAUUCGAACUGAUAACUCACUUGGGGAUAUUGGAAAGUGCGAGUUGUUCUUAUGGAUUCGAACUGGUGACCCGACUGGGAAAAAGAGAAAAUUGGCAAGUACGAGUUGUUCUUACGGAUUCGAACUGGUGACUCGACUGGAAAAAGAGAAAAUUGACAAGUACGAGUUGUUCUUAUGGAUUCGAACUGGUGACUCGACUGAAAACAUGUAAAAUUGGCAGGUACGAGUUGUUCUUAAGGAUUCGAACUGGUUACUCGACUGAAAGCAAGGCAAAUAGACAGGUGCGAGCUUGUUCUUGGAUGCGAACUGGUUACUCCACCGGAGACAAAUACAAAAUAGACAGGCGCAAGCUGCUCUUAGAUCGAGCUAGCCACUUGAGCGAACAGAAACAAAUAGACGGGUACAAGCUGUUCUUGGACUUGAACUAGCCACUUGACCCAAAAUCAUAGACACAUAGACAGGUACGAGCUGUUCUUGGAUUCGAACUGGUAACUCGACCGGGGUCAUGGAAAAGUAGAUAGGUACGAGUUCUUCUUGGAUUCGAACUGGUCACUCGACCGAAAGCAAAGACAAAUAAACAGGUGUGAGCUUGUUCUUGGAUGCGAACUGGUUACUCCACCGGACAGAAACAGAUAGACAGGUACAAGCUGCUCUUGGAUUGAGCUAGCCACUUGACCAAACGGAAACAUAUUGACAGGUACAAGCUGCUCUUGGAUUGAGCUGGGCACUCGACCGAUAACAUAAGCAAAUUGAUAGGUACAAGCUGUUCUUGGACUUGAACUAGCCACUUGACCAAACAGAAACAUAUUCACUGGGGAUUGGUUUUUUUUUUUUUGACAAAAUAUAGAUUGAGAUUGACUUGACGUCGAUUUGAAUUGAAAGGCAGAAAUUGACCGAUAUUAUUGGCUCACAAGGUUUUGACAGAGAACCUGACAUGAGUAUCGAAUUGAGACUGAUGUUGACAUUGAAAAUGCAAUAUGCACGGAUGAUAUAACAGUUUCAUUAAAUGCAUGGGCACGUAAUAUGCAUGUAUGAAUGCUUGUAAUGCAUGACUGUUGGCAUUUUGUAGGCACGACUUCACGGGGAAGACAAGACAUCAGAGUAUUGGGCACGUAGUGGCUCGUGCUAUAUUACACAUUCUUGGAAAUCCUCUUUGGAGAUGACGUCGUUGGGAGACGUAUCGGAACCAUGGCUGAGGGCAGGUAGGUAUGCAACUCGCUGGGGAUAGAAUCUCGGAAGACUCUACUGGGAAUAAUGCCGGAUGUAUCGUGGACGUCGCAUCUAUGGUCAAUGCUUUUUGCAUGUUAUUUUCUCAAUUUCAUUCAUUCAUUUUUUGCAUCCCAUUUUUGCCUGGAUCGCCCUUUCGGGUUUUCGAUCCACCGGGGAAAUAAAUUCUUUUCAAUGCCCCAUUUUUGCCUGAACUGCCCUUUCGGGUUUUCAAUCCAGCGGGGUGCUCAUUCUUGCCUAAGCCGCCCUUCCGGGUUUUCAACUUAGCGAGCCUUUUCAUUUUCAUGCAUUUUCAUUCUGUUUUUUCAUUCUUGCCAUUGACCAAAGACUAUCCUGGAGGAGAACCUGCUUGUAACACAUAUUGAAAUAGACAUCAACAUACUCUCGCUCAUGCAUGUCUCAUUUGAAUGUACCAUGUUGCUCAGGUUUGCUUUUCAAAAAAAACUUUUUCAAUUUUCAAAAUGUUUGUUUCGAGCAUUAUCAUUAUCAAAAUAGAAAGAAAAUGUUUUGUAUAUAGCUUUGAAAGUAAAAAGAAAGCAGAGUUUCAAACAAAAGCACAAGCUCAAAUAGAUGUAUAAGAGUGGUGGUCAGCCGAAGGCGUGACUCCACGGAUUUACAAAGCUUGGAAAAUGGUAAUUUUAUUGGUUGGUGGUACAUUGAACACAGUAAUCAUGACAUCUCCUAGAAACUUUGAAUUCGCAAGCAUAAGAGCUUUUGAUGAAAAUGGUCAUUAACAGCUGCAGAUGCCCCAAGGGGGACGGUGGUUGGCCAGAUAUAGUUACUUGCCUUUUGUUUCAAUCUCAUUUUUGCAUGAACCGCCCUUCCGGGUUUUCGGCUCAUCGAGACGCUCAUUCUUGCCUGAGUUGUGUACAAUCUCAGCGAGCUUUUCAUAUUUGUUUUUUGUCCCUUAUUUUUUCCUGGACCGCCCUUUCGGGUUUACCAUCCACCGGGAAGCGCAUUUUUGCCUAGGCCGCCCUUUCGGGUUUUCGACCUACCACGCUGUUCUUUUCAUAUUUUUAGGCAAAGUAUUUCUUGACUAUAUCGGCAUUCACUGGAUUUGGAAGUUCCACACCAUCCAUGUGUGUAAGGAUUAAAGCACCACCGGAGAAGGCCUUCUUGACAACAUAAGGACCUUCAUAGUUAGGCGUCCACUUGCCCCUUGGGUCGGGUUGCUGGCUUACCCUCCUUUUCAAUACAAGUUCCCCUACCUUGAAUUCUCGAGGAUGGACUUUCUUGUCAAAGGCAGUCUUCAUUCUUGCUUGAUAUGACUGUCCACGAGCCAUGACAUCCAUACGUUUUUCCUCAAUCAAAUUCAACUGAUCAUACCGGCUUUGGCACCAUUCAGCCUCAGAUAACUUUGCUUCCAUUAUCACACGGAGAGAUGGGAUCUCCACUUCCAAAGGAAGAACUGCUUCCAUACCAUAUACAAGAGAGAAAGGGGUUGCCCCGGUUGAACUGCGCACGGUAGUGCGGUAGCCAUGCAGAGCAUAGGGUAACAUCUCAUGCCAGUCCUUGUAAGUGGUUACCAUCUUCUGGACAAUUCUCUUGAUAUUCUUGUUGGCGGCCUCAACUGCACCAUUCAUCUGAGGUCUAUAGGGAGAAGAGUUAUGAUGCUCAAUUUUGAAUUCUUCACAAAGAGCUUGCACCACAUUGUUGUUCAGGUUGGUACCAUUGUCGGUAAUAAUCUUGCUGGGAACACCAUAUCGACAGAUGAUGUUGUUCUUGAUGAACUUAGCUACCACUUGCUUGGUCACAUUAGUAUAAGGUGCUGCUUCAACCCACUUGGUGAAGUAGUCAAUUGCCACUAAAAUGAAACGAUGACCAUUUGAAGCCUUCGGUUCAAUUCUUCCAAUCAUGUCGAUGCCCCACAUUGAGAACGGCCAUGGGGAUGAAAUAACAUUGAGGGCGUGCGGAGGCACAUGAAUCUUAUCAGCAUAGAUUUGACAUUUGUGGCACUUUCUGGCGUGCUGGUAGCAAUCAUGCUCCAUGGCCAUCCAGUAGUAACCUGCUCGUAACAACUUCCUUGACAUAGUAUGCCCUGUAGCGUGGGUCCCAAAGGUACCGUCAUGUACAUCAUGCAUUAACUGCUCUGCUUCGUGUUCAUCAACACAUCUUAACAAUACCAUGUCAUAGUUUCUCUUGUACAGAAUAUCUCCAUCUAACAGGAAUCUACUGGCCAAUCUUCUCAGGGUCUUCUUGUCUUGUUUGGAAGCACCCGGCGGAUACUCACGGCUUAGCAAGAACUGUUUGAUGUCGUAGUACCAGGGUUUAUAGUCAACCACAUUUUCGCCAGCCUGAUCGAUCACAUCCCCAAUAGCAAACACAUGCGAAGGUCUUUCAAGGCGUUGCACUUUGAUUAUUGGCACAUCAUUCCAAUGGUUUACUCGAAACAUGGAGGAUAGAGUAGCAAGAGCAUCAGCCAUUUGGUUCUCAUCACGAGGAAUAUGGUGCAGCUCAACCUUUGUAAAAUAUGUCAGCAAACGUCUCGCAUAAUCACGAUAAGGAAUCAACUUAGCAUGAUGGGUCUCCCAUUCACCCUUUCUCUAAUUGAUGACGAGCGCAGAAUCUCCAUAGAUGUCGAGGUGUUUGAUUCUCAUGUCAAUUGCUUCCUCGAUCCCAAAGAUACAUGCUUCAUACUCAGCCAUAUUGUUGGUACAUUCGAACAGAAUUCGGGCGGUAAAAGGAAUGUGAUGCCCCUAUGGGGAUACAAUGACUGCCCCAAUUCCUUUACCAUAAGCAUUGACAGCACCAUCAAAGACUAAACCCCACUUGCUAUUGGGAUCUGGACCUUCAUCAAUCAACGGUUCUUCGCAGUCUUUUGAUUUUAAAUACAUGAUCUCUUCAUCGGGGAAAUCGAAUUCAAUUGGUUGAUAAUCAUCAAGAGGUUGGUAAGCAAGGUGAUCGGCAAGAAUGCUACCUUUGAUUGCCUUUUGAGUUUUGAACACAAUAUCAUAUUCAGACAAAAGCAUCUGCCAGCGUGCAAUCUUCCCAGUAACAACAGCUUUCUCAAAGAUAUACUUUAUCGGAUCCAUUCUGGAUAUCAACCAAGUUGUAUGAUUCACCAAAUAAUGACGCAGGCGUUUGGCAGCCCAAGCUAGAGCACAACAAGUCUUCUCAAGCAUUGUAUACCGAGUUUCACAGUCGGUGAACUUCUUGCUCAGAUAGUAGAUAACAUGUUCUUUCUUUCCAGUCUCAUCUUGUUGACCAAGCACGCAUCCCACAGAUUCAUCAAACACUGACAAAUACAAAAUCAAAGGCCUUCCUUCCACGGGAGGGACAAGGAUAGGUGGUUCCAGCAGGUAAUUCUUGAUGCUAUCAAAAGCUUCCUGGCAUUCAUCGUUCCAUACAAUAGGCUGAUUCUUGCUCAAGCAGUCGAGUGAUCUCAUAUGGUAUAUCAUCAUCCUCUUCAUCUUCGGCUUCAUACACAGGGAAUUCAAAAUUUGGAGGAACCGUAGGAUUACUGUGUUCAACGGGUUUAUUAUGGUUCAAACUGCAUAGAAUGGUUGAAUGAUUUUAGAAAAUGGUUUUUUUUUCUUUUAUGCAGUUCUUUGAAAUUGAUAAGAAAAAUAAAGAUGUUUUGGUUUUUUCUGGUAUUACCAUUAUUUCCAAGAAAAAAAGAAAGAAAAGAAAAAAAAAAAACACUAAAAAAUAAAAGUCGUGAAAGAAACGACGAUUUUUGUUAAUAACGGCGAUGCCGAAACAAACACGCCCUUCCAGAAAUAUCACUUUCGCUUCGGGCAGAGCGAGAGGAUGGUUAUUUUGAAAAACAAAACACUUAAGCAACAAGACGCAUUAUUCGGAAACAUGCAUGAUUGAAUGAAUGUUGAUGGCAUCACAAUUUCUCGCAAUGCCUCCUGGUAUAACAAACAUAGGCCUAGGACUACAUCCAGUCGCCUCUUCAGUAAUUGCAUUGAUAAACUCAGCACUGUAGAAGAUUCAUGUGGCAUUGUACUUGUAAGGAAUAGCCUUUGUAGAAGUAUAAGGUACUGGUCCGGGCAGCCUUAUCACUAGAGGCUCAACAUUCUCUUUUGAAGGCACGCUCUUGACGGGCGGAUCAUGAAAGACUGGCACAAUCACACAGACGUCGCUGACAGUCAAAUAAUUGUUGUUCAUCAAGCUCUGGAUGUCAUUUUAAACAACGCAGCAACCCAAAGGAUUACAGAAUCAUUCUUGGCAAUUGGCAUGAUCAUGGUCAAACAGAGAGGCUUGGCAUAACUUGAUGUGUAGUGGCACCAGAGGAGUUGUAACAUUACGGACGUCAAGUCCGGGAGCUUCCUCAUAUACCUCAAUCAUGUUCACAGCAGCGUGAUUUGGAAGAGGGUUGUCGAGGACAUGAGGGACGUUGUUCUCAAAAGUCAACUUUCCUUGGUUAAUGAGCUUCUUCACAAUGUAUUUCAAAGCAUAGCAUCCUUCGACAUCAUGACCCAGAGCACCUUGAUGGAAAUCACAUUUGAGGUCAGACCGGAACCUGGGAGGUAACGGAUCAGGUGGAGGCUUCCCCUGUCUGAUUGCGCAGUGCCCUCUGAGAAGUAGAGUCGGGAGCAACUCAGCAUAUAGCAUUGGUAUCAGAGGAAAGGUAGGUCUAGCUUGUUGCUGCUGUCGUUGUUGGUGAACCGGUGGAUGAUUGUUCCUGGGCGGCUAGCAGAGCAGUCAUGGUGUCAUUGACCUUAGCCAAUUCUUCCCUCAGAGAAGUUAACUCGGUACGGAGCUGCGUGUUCUCUUCUUCCAUAGCCUUUUUCCUUCUUCUGUAUUCUCGGGUUCGAUCGAUUUUGUCAGGUUCGUAGAUCUUCUGAGCACGAGCCACUUUUCACACUGUGGCAGAGGAACCAGGAGGUAGUGAGCAUUUGGAAGCCUUUGUGACCAAUGCAUGAUGCAUAUGAUGCAUGAUAUGUACAAAUGCAAAUGCAAAAGUUUUCUUUUUUCAUCGAAGGAUUUUUAAACAAAUUAGAAAUCUUGCAAAUAAUCAAAACUACAUAGUAUUUUCAACAGGAAGACUUUGAAAUUUCAACAAGAUAAACAAAUGAAGCCCUCAAGCAUAGGAAGUAGUCGGAGAAUCAUCGGACUCGGAAUCUGAAUCACAGUAUCUGGCAAAGAAGUCUCGUCGUCCUCUGGCUCUCUUGGAAUCCCUCAUAAGCAGCUCGUCUUUCUCUUCCAAUUCCCUCCGGACCUUAGCUAGUUCCUUCUUCAACAUCAGGUUCUCAUGAGUCUUCUGCUCAUCUCUACCAUCCAAAGUCAUGAUUAGAUUCUCAGCUUGAUUGUACCGAGCUUUCCACACUUGCUUCUCACGACUCUCCAUAGCUAGAUGCUCCUGAUACAUAUCCUGAGUCGCGGGGAGUAAAGGUAGAGGCAUAGAUGGAGUAGACGAAGACACGUAUCUCAUAGCUGGAUAAGGCAUACCAAUCUCCUCAGCUCGAUCUAUCACCCACUGAGUAUAGGCCUCAUGAGCAACACCAGAUCUCACACCUAGAUGCUUCACACUCUUCCUUCGAACCUUGGACCAAGCAUCCAUGAAAGCUUUCCUUUGUCCGGUAGGAGCAUUCGUGUAGAAGAAGAACUCUGGAGAUGUAGCAAGAUUGAUGGGCUUCGACUUCAUAGGGAAACCAAACUGUCUCAUAGCAAGCUCGGGAUUGUAGUUGAUUCCUCCACGGGUACCAAGAAGAGGUACAUUGAGAAAGUCUCCACAACCCAUAAUGAUUUCCUUCACUUGAGCGGCAGGAGUGAGCCAGACGACCUCAUUAGGAGUGAGGGCCAUAAUCCGCUGCGAGUAGGACCAGUUCUCCGAGUUAUCAUGGAAGGAACUCGGAAGGUGCGAAAUAAACCACCUAUACAAAAGAGAUAUGCAGCAAAGAAUAUACCCACGGCCCUUGAGAGUCCUGUCAUGAAUGGCGUGGUAGGUAUCCGCUAGCAAAGUAGGAACCGGGUUCUUGGAAUGGAAGAUCUCAAUAGCAUUCAUGUCCACGAAGUUGUCGAGGUUCGGAAAGAGAAUGAGCCCGUAGAUAAGCAAAGCAAGAAUAGCCUCGAGCGUAUCCUGACAAGUAGUACUGAGAUUAGCUUGAUCAAGAAGAUACUUUGAAGUGAACCCCCGGAUGUGAGACUUGGUAAUAAGAUGGUUGGAGACGUCGGAAGUCUUGAGGUAGAGAUCCUUAGCAAUAACCAGAGGAGUAAGAGAAGUCCCGGGACCGGUGAAAGGCGUCUUCUCGGCUAUAGGUAAACCCACUAGAUUGGAGUAAGCCUCGAGAGUAGGAACCAACUGGAAGUCCGGGAAGGUGAAGCAACGGAAGCUUGGAUCAUAAAAUUGCACUAGAGUGUGCACUAGCUUCUCGUCCACAUCGGUUUGGAGCAAAGUAAGCAAUCCCCCAUACCGGAGUCGGAACCCUGUUUGACUCUUGACCUUGAGUGCCAACUCUCUUAAACUGACCAAAUCCACUUCCUUGAACUUGUAGCACUUAGUCUUCUUCAUACCUGUGAUUAUUUACAAAAAUUUCCAUUUGUUUAGGCCCUUCGAUGAAUGCAUGAAAAAUGUUUAUGCAUGAAUGCAUGUAUGCAUGAUUGUGUUGUUUAGUUACAAAGAACAAGAUGGGUUGAGAUUCAAAGUAACAGGGCUACGGCUGGACACGGCGUCCGGUGAACUAAGGCUUUGGAUAGUAGUAACCAAGGUUCUAACACAGUUCCCAAACUGCAACCUCUCUCACAUAUAUCAUGGUAGUACAGGACGACACCCGUUCCAUGAUUAUUUGUGAGAAGGUCUAGUUUGAGUGUAGUAUCGCGUGACGACUAAAGUUUGAGACAACACUCAAUUUAGCCACCGCACUACGUCCUAAAAAGGCUAGGAUGGGUUUGGUAACUACGGUUCAUAGCUUCGUCGAACAAUUGAAAGUGAAGUGCCUAAGCAUGACAACACACGCCGACAAUAUCACCUUCAAAAUGCCUCAGCUAUGUGAGAUUGAUCGCAUAAUCCAAUACACGAGGCAACCCCCGGAUCGAAUUGUCGAUUAUAUCUCUACCUAAACAUAAGUUCACUCAGCCCGGGUAUAGGACUUUUGAUAUUCUCACCCCACACGUCAAAUGAAAGUAAACAAGUAUUCACAUAUGUAAGCAAUAAAACAAAGCGUAAAUAAACUAAGGAAAACUAGGCGUGACCCGCUAAAAAAAUCCCCAGUGAAGUCGCCAUUUCUGUUAUCAUGGUUUUUGGGUGCCAAGCCAUUAAUUGGACUUGAACCUUUUGACCGUUGAUAUUCUCUAUUUUUUCUUGGGAAGGGCAAAAUUGAGAAAAACCCUUAGAUUCUAAGUUCGGGGGUCGUUUUCGCUACGGGAAGGUGUUAGGCACCCGGAGCGAUUAUGGUACUCCAUAAGAGCCGCUCUCCUAAGUUGAUUUCUACGCUUUAUUUUUAUUGCCUACUUAUUGAAAGAAAAGAAGUUUUAUUUGAGUGAAGAAUGGGGGUGAGAAGAAGUAGAAUUUGAUUUUAUUUUGGCUUGGAGGGGUUAAAGUCCCUUGCCUACGUACCGUUUUACGGGAUCAAAACCGGCGUAGUUCUUGCUAAAAAAGACUUAUUGUUUUUUUUGUUUUAAUUGUUUGAUUUUAAAUUUUGAAAAUGAUUUUGAAGAAAAGGAUUGAGAGGCUUCAUGAGCAUUAGAGUAUGAAAAAGUGGGGGUUUGUUUAGUGAUUUUGCAAAAAAGUCUAAAUGAUUAGAUUUAUUUGAGAAUUUUAUUAAGAAAAUAAAAGGUGAAAAAUUGUUGGAGUUUUGACUCCAUUUUUAUGAAAAAUAUUUGAAGCGAACUUGUUUGCAUAUUUUUUGGAAAAAAUUGGAUUUUCUCUAAGUGUUUAAACCUAAGCAUUCAUCUAACCAUGCAAUCCUAGCCAUACAUCUACACAUGCAAUCCUAGGCAUACAUCUAGGGUGAGUGUGUGCGUGCCGGUGCGCCAUAGUGUCCAUAGUCCAUAUUACAAAAAUUGCCUAAAUACAUUCUAUGGCCCCUUUGCCAAGCUACAAACCAAUGAUAACAAAUUACAUCACCGAAUGAAUUAAAAUUUGCAAAAAUAAAUGCUAAGCUAAAGAAAGUGGAGGAGAUAGUGAAAUGCUAUGAGUGAAGUCACAUAAGGAACAAAAUGUUAGUGAAACAAGGAAAAAUAUAAUGGAAAUGAUGAAAAAUGCACCAAAUGAAUAUGCAAUAAAAAGGGGUAAAAACAUGAGAAUUUAUCAAUCACAAUAUGUAAAAAUGCAUCAAGAACAUAUAUGGAAUUUUAAUGAGCAAAAAUUAAAGAACGAAGUAAAGGAAAUAAAUGCAAAAAUAAGCAAAUAAAUUCUAAUACUUAGAGGAAAAAUUAAAAUGAUAGGGAAAUAUUUUUAGAAAAAUUUUUAGAAGCAUAAAACACCAAGAAAGUGUAAAAAAGGUAUUUAAAACGCAAUUAAAAAGCAGUUAAAAAAAAACUCAGCAGGAUUUAAUCUGGACCGUUGGAUGAAUCCAGAGGUCCAGAUCUAGCCCUCAAGAUCACAUCACAGCCACUUGAUCAAAGAUCAAAGGGUCCAGAAAAAGGCACAAAAGAUAGUGUAAAAUGCAGGAAGCACAGUGACCGUUAGAUCAAAGAUCUAACGGUUCAAACAGAAGAUAUACCAUAUUUCACACAAAAAGUCAUGCACAGGAUUCAAAAUCAAACACACAGCAGCCAUCAGAUCUUGGAACAAUCCAGAUCUGAUGGUUCACAGAGCGAGGGAACACAACAAGAGCACGCACGCGCGCGCGUGGGAUCGGAGGGAGUAUAAAAAGGAUUUCUCUCACAAAAAUCUCACAAUUUCUUUCCUCUUCUCUCUCUAAGUUAAACUUAGAGAGAGAAGCUCUCACUUCUCUCUAAAAACAGCCGGUCGGAGCUGAUGUGGAGGUGGCGGCCGGAGCUUUUCCGGCGCGGUGGCCGGCCGGUUUCCGGCGGCGGCGCCACCGCGUCGGAAUUUUUUUUUUUUUUUUUUUUUUAAUUUUUAUACCAAAAGCUUCGUCUCCUCCUCCUCUACUCAAAUCCGGUGCUAGUUUUAAAAAGGGGUGAGAGAUUCGUCGUAGAUCUACGUUUGAACUUUCGGAAUUUUUUCACUCUUUUUGUAAAAAAAGCUUACGGAUCUAGAUAUCCUUUUCGCUCUAGAGUCCGAAUCCGGCCUCAAAAUUUCAAAAAUCCGAACGUACAAGCCUAGAUCUACAAAUCUUGAUUCGUAACAAACUUUUCACAUGUGUAUAUGCGCGAAAACGAGGGAAAAAAGUGUUACCGUCGUCGUGAAACGGAGAAAAAAAAAAUCCGAGCCUCCUCUUCUCUCCGCCGCGCGCGCGCGGAUUUGCUCCGGUGGUGCCGCUUUUGCUCGAAAAUCCGGUACGGAUUUGGUGUUGGUGUGAUGAUUCGCGGUGGUUUUGAAUGAUUCCGGUUCGGAUUUGUUGAUUUUGUGAUGAUUUGAGUUGGUUUUGAGUGAAUCCGGUUCGGAUUUGUUGAUUUUGUGAAGAUUUGUUCUUGGUGUUCUUGGAGAAUUUUUUGGUGAUUUUCUGUUUUGGAUCUAACUGAUUUUGGAGAGAGAAAGAAAUUUCUGUUUUUGUGAUGUGACUGAUUCUGAUUUUUUUAUUUGGAUCUGACACAUCUAUUUAUAGCCUGCCAUGUGUAUUUGUGGGCCAAUGAGAAAAUGCCAUCUGGACUGAGACUGAAGUGUGCGAAAAUUCUGGACAAAAAUGCCCCUGGGACCUUUUCUGCAAAAAAAAUAAUAAAAAAGGACUGGAAAAUGAAAGUAAGGACUGAAAUGAAAUUAAAAACUGUUUGGACAAAAAAUGCAAUUUUGGGACCUCAAUUGAGGGACCAAAAUGCAAUUAAAAAUAAAAUUGAAUAAAAAACGUAAUUUGACCAAACGUAAAGCGAAACAAAAAAUAAAAUUGACAAAACGGACUAAAACGAAUCAAUGGCUUAAAUGAGGUACUUCAAAGUAACCUCUCUAUGCCGAAAUUUUGUGUGAAAUGACCAAAAUGCCCCUAGGGCUAAAAAUGACCUAAACAGAUUCAAAUUGACUUGACACUGACUCAGAUGCAAGUUUGAAAUGAAUUUAACAAGGUUUACUGAUGAAAUGUUAAAAAUCAAUCUGAAAAGACUCAGAGACAGUCACAAGGAUGAAAAUGGGUCCCACUGCAGGAAAUGACCAAAAUACC